GGCACCUGCCCCGCAGCCCCCUCCAUGCAGCGCCUGCCCCUGCUACGAAUGCUAUGCCGCUGCAGGGAAAGCUGGCGAGGACAGAGCCACGGUAGGAACAGCCAGGCCAUCAGCAGACGUGCGAGUCAGGACACAGGCCACACAGCAAAACCACAUACUCCUAGGAAACCGUUGGUCCUAACACUCCACCCACACGCAGGUUUAUUUCCAUCUUCCAGGGGUGGAAAGAGCUGUCCCCAAGACACUCAAGAGGGGUGGGCACAGGCCCCAUGUGAGCCCAGGGUAGGACGGGCUGGAGAGGGCCCCACGCAGCACCUGCCCUGCCAGCCUGUCUGCGGCCCACCCACCCUCCCAUUAAAGUCACGUUGUCUCGA
rnacentral:lncRNA from 1 species